rnacentral:rRNA from 1 species
CUCGAAUGUCAUUCAUGUACUCAUAGGGAUCGAUAUGUAUGUCCACGGUUCCGCUAUCGGUCAUUGAAAAAAAAGUGUUUUUUUUGAGAAAUUACUACGUGCUUCAUUAGCAACAAAUACAGGAGUACAAGACCCACACGUAGAAAUAUACAUAUAACACGAGAGAGGACAGAAGUCCCAGCCUAUGUGCGAAGAAGACUCCCACAAAAGAAACAAGAAUACAGUCAAGUCCCUGGAAGUUCCUGAACACACGAAGCCAAAUACCUGAAUCGUUCCACCGCCGCCGCCGCUACGGAGAGAGAUGCAGGUAGCCACCAUCAAAUGAGCUGAGGACGCACCAUCGCCUAAUCGGCUUUCCGAGUUGAAGAAGAAGCCCGCCAUAACAGGCAAGGCCAUUGUCGUUGUGGAGCUUCGACCGGGGUCUAUCCCCAUGCACCUCAGCCCCAGAACGGUUCCUUCGUCCAACGGAGUCGAAGGAGAGUCGCCGGAUCCGCCGCCACAAGCCACAAACCCUACACGAGAUCGCAUCUUCUCGCGCACACCGCCGUGUCCGCCAUCAUGUCGAACAACGCCGGCCACACAUCUCCGAUACAAGCGCCCAGACCAAAGGAUGAUGCCGGAGGCAGCACCACUCAGGCGGAGGCAGGUCUGGGGCACACAACCGCCAACACGUGGUCGCCACCGCCGCCAUGCCAAUCAAGCGGCGAAACAGUGACACCUAGAUCCGCCAUUGACCAUGCGAACUACCUCGUCAAGGAAAGAUCUGGAGUCUUAUUCGAUGUCGCCGCCAUAACCAUCGGCAACACAAAACCUAUACCUACAGCUAUACAUGGUCCACGCGCAAGAUCUGGCGACCCCCGUCCACACCGACGACCAUGAAGGCCGUCGGGGGAGGGGAGCCGCCGGGAUCUGGCACCGGAGGAGCGUCCGCACGAGGCGGCAGACGAGGUCGCCUCUUUCUCUCUGGGAAAGGGAAAUAGCUGUUCAG